rnacentral:rRNA from 1 species
GAUGAACGCUGGCGGCGUGCUUAACACAUGCAAGUCGAACGGAAAGGCCCAAGCUUGCUUGGGUACUCGAGUGGCGAACGGGUGAGUAACACGUGGGUGAUCUGCCCUGCACUUCGGGAUAAGCCUGGGAAACUGGGUCUAAUACCGGAUAGGACCACAUUUUGGAUGGUGUGGUGGAAAGUUUUUCGGUGUGGGCUGAGCUCGCGGCCUAUCAGCUUGUUGGUGGGGUAAUGGCCUACCAAGGCGUCGACGGGUAGCCGGCCUGAGAGGGUGUACGGCCACAUUGGGACUGAGAUACGGCCCAGACUCCUACGGGAGGAAGCAGUGGGGAAUAUUGCACAAUGGGCGCAAGCCUGAUGCAGCGACGCCGCGUGGGGGAUGACGGCCUUCGGGUUGUAAACUCCUUUCGCUAGGGACGAAGCGUUAUGUGACGGUACCUGGAGAAGAAGCACCGGCUAACUACGUG